rnacentral:tRNA from 1 species
CGCUACGGACUUAAAUCCGUUGAUUUUAUAAAUCGUGAGGGUUCAAGUCCCUCUAUCCCCA